rnacentral:ribozyme from 1 species
AAGAAAAAGAAAAAGAAGAGAAACAAAAACAAAUUACCAAAGGGAAAGAAACUCCCCCUUCUUCUCCUCUUCUCUCUUCUUCACCCCCCCUCUCUCUCACUCCCCCUUCUUCUUCCUCUCUCAAAAAACCAACACCUCAUAAGAAAACAAAAGAUUUCGAAGCUCAAACAAAGGCGGCUGCUCACCUUUUUGAAGAUGACACCUCUGAUGAAGUUCCCUUUUAUUCAUCGAUCUUUGACAAAAAAAGCAA